rnacentral:rRNA from 1 species
ACGAACGCUGGCGGCGUGCUUCACACAUGCAAGUCGCACGGAAAGGCCCUGCUUUUGUGGGGUGCUCGAGUGGCGAACGGGUGAGUAACACGUGAGUAACCUGCCCGUGACUUUGGGAUAACUUCAGGAAACUGGGGCUAAUGCCGGAUAGGAGCUCCUGCUGCAUGGUGGGGGGUGGAAAGUUUCGGCGGUUGGGGAUGGACUCGCGGCUUAUCAGCUUGUUGGUGGGGUAGUGGCUUACCAAGGCUUUGACGGGUAGCCGGCCUGAGAGGGUGACCGGCCACAUUGGGACUGAGAUACGGCCCAGACUCCUACGGGAGGCAGCAGUGGGGAAUAUUGCACAAUGGGCGGAAGCCUGAUGCAGCAACGCCGCGUGCGGGAUGACGGCCUUCGGGUUGUAACCCGCUUUCGCCUGUGACGAAGCGUGAGUGACGGUAAUGGGUAAAGAAGCACCGGCUAACUACGUG